rnacentral:rRNA from 1 species
GACGAACGCUGGCGGCGUGCUUAACACAUGCAAGUCGAACGGAAAGGCCCCUUUGGGGGUACUCGAGUGGCGAACGGGUGAGUAACACGUGAGUAACCUGCCCUUGACUUCGGGAUAACUUCAGGAAACUGGGGCUAAUACCGGAUAGGAAUCCUUGCUGCAUGGUGGGGGUUGGAAAGCUUCGGCGGUUUUGGAUGGACUCGCGGCUUAUCAGCUUGUUGGUGGGGUAGUGGCUUACCAAGGCUUUGACGGGUAGCCGGCCUGAGAGGGCGACCGGCCACAUUGGGACUGAGAUACGGCCCAGACUCCUACGGGAGGCAGCAAUGGGGAAUAUUGCACAAUGGGCGGAAGCCUGAUGCAGCAACGCCGCGUGCGGGAUGACGGCCUUCGGGUUGUAAACCGCUUUCAGCAGGGGCGAAGCUUGUGGUGACGGUACCUGCAGAAGAAGCACCGGCUAACUACGUG